rnacentral:sRNA from 1 species
GCCGGGCAUGGUGGUGCAUGCCUGUAGUCCCAGCUACUCAGGAGGCUGAGGCAGGGGAAUCGCUUGAACCUGGGAGGCGGAGAUUGCAGUGAGCCAAGAUCGUGCCACUGCACUCUAGCCUGGGCGACAGAGCGAGACUCCGUCUCAA